UUUCUCUAUAGAUCUUUAUUUGAUGCUGUCUGCAUGAGUGACGAGAGAGCCAUAUGGCCGAAGCACCAGAAUCCACAGCGUGACUGACAGGUGAAGCACCAGAAUCUACAGCGUGACUGACAGUCUUGCAGUGCCCCAGUCUGUACCACACCCUCGACCACAGAGAACGCACACAUCAUCAUCGGCAGAUGGCUCGGGCGACCCACAAGGAAAAAGGUUGAGUCGCAGCCAACAGAAGUUUCUAGCCCUGCAUUACAUGACCCGAUCCCGCCGCCUCCCAGGUCACCUGACCAGCACCUCAGUAACCAAGGUGGCGACCCUAGAAAAGC